rnacentral:misc_RNA from 1 species
UCCCCGUUACCGAGGCAGUCUAGCUAGAAAAAUUCAACUAACUACAAGGGUUGCGCUCGUUGAAGGACUUAACCUAACAUCUCACGACACGAGCUGAAGACGGCCAUGCAUCACCUGUCACUGGAUUCCCGAAGGCACUCUCUCCUUUCGGAGAGAUUCCCAGGAUGUCAAACCUUGGUAAGGUUCUUCGCUUAGCCUCGAAUUAAACAACACGCUCCACCGCUUGUGCGGGACCCCGUCAAUUCCUUUAUGUUUUAGUCUUGCGACCGUACUCCACAGGCGGGAUGCUUAACGCGUUAGCUUCGCUACUACCAGGGUCGAUACUGAUAACAGCUAGCAUCCAUAGUUUACGGCGUGGACUAC